AUCGGAUUGAGAUUUAACCACGCGAGUCGAACGUCCCCCUGUUGCGGGGGGCGUGGCGUACGGCUCAGUAACACGUAGUCAACCUGCCCUGGAGACACGGACAACCCCGGGAAACUGGGACUAAUCCGUGAUAGGUCACCUCAUCUGGAAGGAGAGAUGGCCCAAAGGGGCGCGCGGGCUUCUUCUGCGCGUUCGCUCCAGGAUGGGACUGCGACCGAUCAGGCUGUUGGCGGGGUAAAGGCCCACCAAACCUGUAACCGGUACGGGCCUUGAGAGAGGUGGCCCGGAGAUGGACACUGAGAAAAGGGUCCAGGUCCUACGGGGCGCAGCAGGCGCGAAACCUUCGCAAUGCGCGAAAGCGUGACGAGGUUAAUCCGAGUGAUUUCCGCUGAGGAGACCUUUUGUCGGCUGUAAAUAGGCCGGCGAAUAAGGGGAGGGCAAGCCUGGUGU
rnacentral:rRNA from 1 species